ACACGACUACAUUAGAUACCCGGGUAGUCCCAGCCGUAAACUAUGCGCGUUAGGUGUAUCGGUGACCACGAGUCACGGAGGUGCCGAAGGGAAACCGUGAAACGUGCCGCCUGGGAAGUACGGUCGCAAGGCUAGAAACUUAAAGGAAUUGGCGGGGAGCACCACAACGGGUGGAGCCUGCGGUUUAAUUGGACUCAACGCCGGGAAGCUCACCGGAUAAGACAGCGGAAUGAUUGCCGGGCUGAAGACUCUGCAUGACUAGCUG
rnacentral:rRNA from 1 species